UAAAGGUAGUAAAUGACAGGGUGACUCAGGCUAAGAAGUGACUAGGCAGCCCUAUGAUUGCUGAGUAGGUGGGAACCUACUAUAAAUAUGAUAAAAAUUUUGUUUAGACACAAUUUGAAUGAAUGAUUAUGAAAAAAAAAAGCGGCACGUUGAAAUAAAAAUUUAAGAAAUAUCAGAAGAAUAGAAAAACAAAAGAUUUCGAGAGAAAUAAUUAAAAUGUUUUUGCUGAUGUCUCGCUGCCGUAUAAGGUUAAAGGAAAUUGGCGUUGUUUGGGGUAAUUGGCGAGUUGGUAACGUAAGUGAAAAGGGUUGGGCGAAUAGUUAGACAGCCGUUGAUUUUUAAAUGAGAGACUCAGGGGUGAGGUGAAAUGAGAAUUCACAAUAAAAAAAAAAAAUGGCUAUUGACAGUUGAAAAGAAAAAGGAAUGAAAAUUGAAAAUGGUUCAGGAAAAUGGUGUUUCGUGGAAAAUGAGCGUCUGGCGGGAUUCACUGAGAAGAGGGGUAUAAAAGGCUGCGAGCAUAAGAAAAGCCAAAGUUGAGAAUAAGACGUUACCGGUGAAACUUAGCUAGAGAGCAGUGAAGAAGUGGAAAAAUUUAAUUUGUGUGUUGCGAUUUUUUUUUAUUGUGAAUAUUCCGGUGGUGUAUCAAGCCUUUUUUGGAAGCACCGAAAAUUGUCCGGUUUUGGUCAGCACAACGGCGGGAAAUUGCCUUUUCUUUUUGGUAACGCAAGGUAGUGGCAAGUUGUCCACAGGAAAAAAAAGCCAAAAAAGUUACAUUGAGGGUGUGGAGAUUUGAAUUGUAAACUGGCCAGCUGCAACUUUGAGCUUUUUGCUGUGCCGGUUAUUGAUCCCGCCCAGAACGCCGGCAUUGUAAAAGGACCAGUCAACAAGUCCAGCUUCAUUUGAGGGUUUGCCUGGCGUUCAAAAUCUGUUUCCUCCGGAAAGAAGCGUAAACUGGAAGGAGAGAUAAGAAGAAUUAAUCAAUAACGUUAUAAAUCACUGCUCAGGUAAAAGGUGUCUUACCGUUGUGUUGUCCUUGAUAUAUAUAUUUAUAUAUAUGUGACGUCCAUAAAAUUUGCUGUCUCCUUUUUUGGAACUAAAAGAAAAGAAAAAAAAAAGAGUUAAUAAUCAUAAAUUUCGAGAAAAAAAAAAUAUAAUAUUCAGUAUAAAGAUUUAGUAAUAAGAUAGGUUAUAGUUCUUAGGAUUUAAGUAAUAAUCAGUUUGUAAGGGAAAAAUACCGCGUUUAUUUUCAAAGGCUAGGAGGUGUUACAGUAAAAUUAUCUUGAGUCCUUGUGAUUCGAUCUGAUAGUUUAGGCCGUGGAAUUUUAGCGGCAAUUAGGCCGGUUAAGAGAGCUCUUUUAGGUGGCUAGUAAUUUCGUAUAGACGCGGAAUAUUGCGCGGGAAAAGCAAGGCAAAGGAUAAUAUAUUGGUUUCUACCGAGUAAUUAAAGCCAUAGAUUUAAGAAAGCCCGGUAUUAUUCUUAAUUUGUUUUUUUUUAUACCAUACAGUUUGUCAAUUUUAAUGUAAGAAAAAAAAUAGUAGAGAAAAAAAUUAAGAAAAUAUUUAAAGCUAACUUAUUUUUUUUAAUAAAAUUAAAAAUGAUUCUUUUGUAAACAGUA